GCUCGUAGUCGAACUUUGUUCAGCUGGUUGCACUUACAGCUUUGCGGUUCAUGCGACCGACUGGACUUUGCGUAGCACUCUUGUCUUUGACAUUGGUGCUCCGCACUUUGAAUAUAUCAAAGUGUUUAAAGCAAGUCUACUUGAUUGCUCAAGCAUGGAAUACAGAAUCGGCGUUUGCCUUUUCUAAGGUUCUAAAGGCUUUUGCAAUGAUUGAGAGGGAACGGUGGGGGGGAUACGCAUUGAUUUGUUAGGGGUGAUAUUCUUUGGGAUCAGUCAAAGGCGAACUGAUGCGAAAGCGUUUCUCAAAAACGUUUUUAUUGAUCAAGAACGAAGGUUAAGGGAUCGAAGACGAUCAGAUACCGUCGUAGUCUUAACGGUAAACUAUGCCAUCCAAAGAUCGGGCAAAUGCAUAGAGAUUGCUCGGGAUUUCGUGAGAAAUCAGAGAUAUUGGGUUCUGGGGGAAGUAUGUGCCCAAGCCCGGAAACUUAAAGGAAUUGACGGAGG
rnacentral:rRNA from 1 species